rnacentral:ncRNA from 1 species
UUGAAGUUUAAUUCUGGUUUAAGAAGAUUUAAAUUAAAAAUUAUAUUACAUGCAAUUUUUUAAUUGUUUUUAAUUUCUAAAUGAAAAUANUUUGAAUAAAUGCGCAGUAUUUAUUAUUAUUAAUUAAUAAAAUUAGAAUUAGUAAUUUUAUUUAAAAGAAUCAAAUUUCGUGCCAGCAGUUGCGGUUAUACGAUUUCUUUAAUUUAAAUAAUUAAGUUUCAGUUAAUAAAACAAUAAUAUAAAAUAUCUAUAAUUUUGGUGAAAUAUAUUUUAUCUUUAAAAAUUAAUUUUAUGUCUGAAAAAUUUUUGUUUAAACUAGGAUUAGAUACCCUAUUAUUAAAAAUGUGAUAAAAAUAACUUGAUUAUUAUUAGAAAUGAUCUUUAAAUUCAAAGAAUUUGGCGGUAAUUUAUCUUAUCAGAGGAACCUGUUUUAUAAUUGAUAAUCCACGAUAGAAAAAACUUUAAUUUAAUUUGUAUAUCUCUGUCAAGAAUGUUUUAUAAGAAAUAUUUUCAUUAUAUNAUUAUGUAUGUUUAAUGUCAGGUCAAGGUGCAGUUUAUAUAAAAGAAUAAAUGGGUUACAUUUAAUUAUAUAUUGAAUUAUUUUUUAUAAUUAAAAAAUAUGAAAUUGGAUUUGAUAAUAAAUUAAUUAAAUUUAAUUAGUUGAAAUUAGCUCUAAUUUAUGUACAUAUCGCCCGUCACUCUCAUAAUAUUAAUGAGAUAAGUCGUAACAAAGUAACUGUACCGGAAGGUGUAGUUAGAAAGA